UGCAGUCGAACGAAGAGCUUAGAGUAGUAAUACUUUGAGUCCUCUUAGUGGCGAACGGGUGAGUAACGCGUUGGUGACCUGCCCCAAAGAUAGGGAUAACAGUUCGAAAGGACUGCUAAUACCUAAUGUUAUCAUUUGGAUUAGAACCCUUUUGAUUAAAGGAGCUUGCUCCACUUUGGGAGGGGCCUGCGUACCAUCAGCUAGUUGGUAGGGUAAUGGCCUACCAAGGCAAUGACGGUUAGGGGACCUGAGAGGGUGGCCCCCCACAAUGGAACUGAAACACGGUCCAUACACCUACGGGUGGCAGCAGUAGGGAAUAUUGGUAAUGUGCGAAAGCGCGAACCAGCAACGCCGCGUGUGCGAAGAAGGCCUUCGGGUUGUAAAGCACUUUUCGGGAGGAAGAGGAAGGACUGUACUCCCGGAAUAAGUCUCGGCUAACUACGUGCCAGCAGCCGCGGUAAUACGUAGGAGGCAAACGUUAUCCGGAUUUACUGGGCGUAAAGCGCGUGCAGGCGGUUUGGUUAGUUGGACGUGAAAGCUCCUGGCUCAACUGGGAGAGGUCGUUCAAUACUGCCAGACUAGAGGAUGGUAGAGGGAGGUGGAAUUCCGGGUGUAGUGGUGGAAUACGCAGAUAUCCGGAGGAACACCAGUGGCGAAAGCGGCCUCCUGGACCAUUCCUGACGCUCAGACGCGAAAGCUAGGGUAGCAAACGGGAUUAGAGACCCCGGUAGUCCUAGCUGUAAACGAUGUGAACUUGGCGUCGGUGGGAUUAAAUCCAUCGGUGUCGUAGCUAACGC
rnacentral:rRNA from 1 species